rnacentral:lncRNA from 1 species
UUUAUGUUUUUUCUGAAAAAAAUAACUUGGAAAUCAGAAUAACAUUGCAAUGAAAAUAUUUAACCACACUCUUAAUCCAUCAAAAACUAUAUACUUCUUAUGUCUUAUUCUAAUAUCGGAAUAAGUUAUCCGAUGAUAAUUUGUUUAGUUUAAAUAUUUUCUUGUGUUGGUGAGAGUUUGAUUUUCUGCUCUUUAAAAAAUUUCAGCAUUUUACAAUUUGGUAGAUAACAUAUUUUACUUACGAGAUAAUUUAAAUGUCGAAUGCAAUAUUCAUUAUAAACAUUCGAUCACACUCCUCAUCCAGCAAAUACUACAUAUUUUCUCGAGUAAAUUGAAAGAUAUACUAAAUAAAUAAAGCAGCUUAUAAAUAGAUACAGAUAAAAUAUUUAUACAUUCAAACAAACCCAACAAAUUUUGGACUUUUUUUCGAAAUGACCCUAUAGAAUUUUCUAAUUGGGUAAAUAACCUUAUGAAAAAAACAAAUAGCAAAUUAACACUCAUUUUGCCAUGUAGAAGCUUCUCUUAAAGACAGUGAAUGCACCACCUUUAUGAAGACGGUGAAUGAUCCAUCGCCUUUCUAAUUUUUAACAAAAGCGGUGAAUCAUUCACCUGCCUUUCGCUUAUUUUCUAUAUCUCAUAUAUAAUUCUAACAAUUAUAUAAAAAUUUCAACAAAUCAUAUAUAAUCUUAAUAAUUUGAAAUUUUCUAAUAAUCUAUCUAUACAAUCCUAACAAUCAAAUAAAAAUUCUAAUAACUCACGUACAAUUCUAACAACCUUUUUUUUUUCUAUUUCACAUGUACAAUUUUUAAAAAUACAGUGAAUGAUUCACCGUUUAAAUAAAAAAUUAUAAAGAUGGUAAAUCGUUCAUCGCCUUUAGAACAAAAGGAGUGUUAUUUUGUCAAAUAUUUUUUUAGUAUGGUUAUUUA